rnacentral:misc_RNA from 1 species
GAUGAAGAACGUAGCAAAGUGCGAUAACUAGUGUGAAUUGCAUAUUCAGUGAAUCAUCGAGUCUUUGAACGCAUCUUGCACCUGCUGGUAUUCCAGCAGGUACGCCUGUUUCAGUAUCAGAAACAACUCUUCCCCUAAGAUUGUUUUGAAUCAUAGGGGGACAUUGAGGGUAUCUGGCUUAGAAGUAAAAUCUCUAGCCCGGAGACGCUUUAAAUGACUUAAGGCCUGCAAGCCAAAGUUUGAUUGCGCCUGAACUUUUUCUUAAUUUCAAGCGAAAGCUCUUGCGAACUAGAACUUUAUUAUUGCCUUGGGGGCCUCCCAAAGAAAACUUUCAACAACUUGAUCUGAAAUCAGGUGGGAUUACCCGCUGAACUUAAGCAUAUCAAUAAGCGGAGGA